CCAGCAGCUGUGACCUGAAUUGAUGCUC
rnacentral:piRNA from 1 species